GUUGCCCACCAGCCUUAUUCUGUGGCUUUGUAUUGUGUAAAAGAGUUCAAUUACAUUUUAUAGAUAAGUCAGGGAUUUCAUUCUUAACUGGUUGUCAGACCUGGUGUUCUGCAUUAGUAUGUAUAAUAAGUGAUUUGAUGAAUCUCUACCCCGUGACAAUCUAGUGGUGGCUAAAAGAGAUGUAGGCUACAUAGCAAAGAUGGGUCAAGUGAAGAUGUGAUAACUGCAACCCCAAAUCUGCAAAACCUGACCAGUUGCCAAACUGGAAACGUGGAUGAGGCACGUGAAGAUGAUAUGGUGGCCAUAACUCCAAAUCUGUGGAAUUCAUACAUCAGCUGAAGUAACUUACCGUCUACAGUGUUGCACCCUCUAGUCAGCCCAGACUUGGUGCCACUAGGAACUGCUCGGCGAUCUCCUGAGCUGGGUGACGUGACCAAGGUGCAUUAGGGGCAGCCUGGAGCCUAAGGUCAUCUGCAUCCCUUGGAGGGAGAUGGGGGAAGGCUUGAGCACUGGUAUCUUUGACUGCUCUUUGUUGGUCCAGACUUUCUUGACGGCGGCCCCCAGAACCAUGACCUGAAAGACAAACAGGGUGGCCAACCACACCUCCCUGAUGACUGCGGAGUGGGCUUGCACCUUUUGCAGCUAUUUAGACAGUAA